rnacentral:snoRNA from 1 species
UUUUCUAAUGAUGUUUUGUUACUGCCCCAGUCUGAGCAUUAUGUGAAUGAUUCAGUUUUUUCUGAUAUAGA